CCUACGUGAGGCAGCAGUGAGGAAUAUUGGUCAAUGGACGAGAGUCUGAACCAGCCAAGUAGCGUGAAGGAUGACUGCCCUAUGGGUUGUAAACUUCUUUUAUAUGGGAAUAAAAUGUUCCACGUGUGGGAUUUUGUAUGUACCAUAUGAAUAAGGAUCGGCUAACUCCGUGCCAGCAGCCGCGGGAAUACGGAGGAUCCGAGCGUUAUCCGGAUUUAUUGGGUUUAAAGGGAGCGUAGGUGGAUUGUUAAGUCAGUUGUGAAAGUUUGCGGCUCAACCGUAAAAUUGCAGUUGAAACUGGCAGUCUUGAGUACAGUAGAGGUGGGCGGAAUUCGUGGUGUAGCGGUGGAAUGCUUAGAUAUCACGAAGAACACCGAUGGCGAAGGCAGGUCACUGGACUGCAACUGACACUGAGGCGCGAAAGUGUGGGUAUCGAACAGGAUUAGAUACCCUAGUAGUC
rnacentral:rRNA from 1 species